GUUAGGGUUAGGGUUAGAUCCAGGGUUAGGGUUAGAUUUUGAUCCCCGAGGGUUAGGGUUAGGGUUAAGAUUCUGGUUAGGCGUUAGUUUAGGGCUAGGGGUCAGUGGUUAGGGGUCAGGGGCUAGUGAUUAGGGGUUGGUGGUUAGUGAUUAGGGGUCAGGGUUAGGCAUUGGAGCCCCUAAUCACACGUAGAUGUAUUUAGCUGUUGUUCCCGUCCAGUGCAUGUGGUCCACCCCCGACAGAAACCCGUCUCCUUUCAGAGAGUCGACGUGUGGCCAAGCUCCAGUAUGCCACAUUCUUGUCUGUGUUAAUGUGUCUUUUUGUUUUGUAUGUUAUAGGUUUUGGGGGAGAGGGAGACUUUCCCUCCAAAGAGUCCAGAAACUCCCUGUCCAGCUUAGACAUGAAGUUCUGUUGUGGAGACAGAACAGGAGUUGUCUCCAGCUCCGUGUCUUGGUUUUUCCCUAUGUGUGAGUACUGUUUUGUAUUGUUUGUAGGUGUUUGUUUCUCCUCUUGUUUGUUAUGUUGUGGUUCUGUGUGUGGUGUGUGGAGUGGAGUCUGAGGUGUUUUGGUUUGUUGUGGUGUUUUUUGUUGUUGUUGUUGUGGUGGUGUUUUGUUUUGUUGUUGUUGUUGUGCUUGUGCUGACUGUGUGUUUUGUUGUGGUGUCUGCUUUAUGUUUACAGGUUUGUCCACAAUUUGUGGACCAUCAUUUUGCUGUUUUUCCUGUGCAGCAACAGGCUCAGAAGGGGCUGCCUGUCUGUCCUGUGCUGCAUCAGGCUUCACACAAGAGGCUAUCAGAGCCUCCGCGUGGUCAAUAACCUCCUGAUUUAUGCGAGGCAAGUUCUUUCGAGCCCAUCUUGUGGCCACAGUGAAGGCGCUCUUCCACUCUUGAGGUGGCUCUUUUGAAAGAUCUGCCUUUAUUUUCUCCAGCUCAGCGGUGUAGUGGUCCUGGAGAAUGAGUAGUGUAGUGUGGCCCCAGUUUUUUGCAUUUGCCAUGAUCAAAUCCAGCGUGUAGGUUGUUGGAUUUGCUGGUUUGAUCAUGGCUGCCAAAUUAUCCACCAUACGUGCUAUCAUUUUUGGAUCCUGUUUUUCAGGUCCUGGGGUCACAUUUUGUAGGUGGUGUACCAUUUUAAUGACAGUGUGUAAUUUUUUGACCAGUUGUCCGAAUUGGGGGUCAUGUACGGGUGCUUGAUGAGUACUUGGAUCAGGCAGGGAUCUGCUCUGCUGUGUGUUUUUUUGGUGGUAAUAAGGGCGUCUUUGAGGAAAUCCCCCCUGGUUACGGGUGGGGUUUCCCUGGUGUAGCACAGAUGCAUAGGACCCUGAUUGAGGUCCCCAAAAUUUGGGUUGAUAAUCAGGAGGAGGUCCAGGUCUGCGGGGACGUGAGGGAGCAGAGAACCGUGGGGGAGGCACAGGCCGGUUAGGUUUAUGGAUAAAGGGGGACUGUCUCCUAGAAUAGGAGACAGUAGGUGCACGGUCCAUCCCCCUGUUCCCCGUCCCCCACGACCCCGUUUGAUACUGCUGAUUAGUGCGAUACGGGCGUUUACCACGCCUUCUCCCGUAUCGCACUUCAGUCCAUUGUUCUUGGUCGUAGGUCAUGAUUGUUGUUUUAACCUUUUUAAUUAUUUAUUGUUAUUUAUUAAUGUGGUGUAUUUAUGAGACUAUUUAUUUAUUUAUUGGUCUAUCUAUCGAUCUUUUUAAACAAAACCUGUAUCAAAUGAAUUGUUAUUUAUUUUUUUAUGCUUUUUUUUGUUUUUUGUGAAAUAAAAAUGAAAUAAAAUGAAAUAAAAGUGAGAAAACUAAAUAAAAUGUGUAUCAAAAUGAAGAAUAAGUGCCCAGUCGCGACGUUUCGACCGCUGUGGGUCUUCUUCAGGCUAUGGGCACAAAAUAAAAUAUGUCUGGGCUUGUCUGGGCUUGUCUGGGCUUGUUUGAGUCUGUUGGUGAGAUGCUUUCUCUUCAAGAGACAUAUGAGAAGUGGGAGGCUGAACUCUGUGUGCGUGAGUUUUUUAUAGGGGCGUGGGAAAGAGCAGAGCCAGACGGGGGCCUCCGGCCGUCUGGGUGCAGUUAACCCCAUAAAUGCCAACUGAAAUUUAAUGACAUGAAUGUUAAUGGCCAAUUAGAAUUUUUUUACCCUCUUUUAGCUGAUUAAUUUUGAUGAAUUAUAAUUGUAAUGUCCAAUUAGAAAUAUUUAUCUUGUUUUUGACCUAUUUAAUAUAAUAAAUUGUAAUUUUAAUGCCCAAUUUUAACUUUUGCCAAUUAGAAUUUGUAAUGAAUUUGAAUUUUUUAAGAUAGAUGUAAUUAUGUUAGCCCCUAAUUCCCUUUUUAAAUUUUGGAUGAGAUAUAUAUUUGUAAUAUUUAUGGUUUUAAUGUGAAAUCAUCCCUAUUUUUAGCCCCUUAUGAAAUCCAAUAAUUAAUAAUGAAUCAAAAAGAAUUAGUUAUAAUAAAUGAUUAGCCUUUAAAGGUUAGGGUUAGGGGUCAGGGCUAGGGCCAGAGAGGCCAGGGUUAGGGUUAGGGCUAGGGUUAGGGCUAGGGCUAGAUCCAGAGGGUUAGGGUUAGGGUUAGGGAUAGGGUUAGGGUUAGAUUUGAUCCCCGAGGGUUAGGGUUAGGGUUAGGGAUAGGGUUAGGGUUAGAUUUAAUCCCCGAGGGUUAGGGUUAGGGUUAGGGAUAGGGUUAGGGUUAGAUUUGAUCCCCGAGGGUUAGGGUUAGGGUUAAGAUUCUGGUUAGGCGUUAGUUUAGGGCUAGGGGUCAGUGGUUAGGGGUCAGGGGCUAGUGAUUAGGGGUUGGUGGUUAGUGAUUAGGGGUCAGGGUUAGGCAUUGGAGCCCCUAAUCACACGUAGAUGUAUUUAGCUGUUGUUCCCGUCCAGUGCAUGUGGUCCACCCCCGACAGAAACCCGUCUCCUUUCAGAGAGUCGACGUGUGGCCAAGCUCCAGUAUGCCACAUUCUUGUCUGUGUUAAUGUGUCUUUUUGUUUUGUAUGUUACAGGUUUUGGGGGAGAGGGAGACUUUCCCUCCAAAGAGUCCAGAAACUCCCUGUCCAGCUUAGACAUGAAGUUCUGUUGUGGAGACAGAACAGGAGUUGUCUCCAGCUCCGUGUCUUGGUUUUUCCCUAUGUGUGAGUACUGUUUUGUAUUGUUUGUAGGUGUUUGUUUCUCCUCUUGUUUGUUAUGUUGUGGUUCUGUGUGUGGUGUGUGGAGUGGAGUCUGAGGUGUUUUGGUUUGUUGUGGUGUUUUUUGUUGUUGUUGUUGUGGUGGUGUUUUGUUUUGUUGUUGUUGUUGUGCUUGUGCUGACUGUGUGUUUUGUUGUGGUGUCUGCUUUAUGUUUACAGGCUUGUCCACAAUUUGUGGACCAUCAUUUUGCUGUUUUUCCUGUGCAGCAACAGGCUCAGAAGGGGCUGCCUGUCUGUCCUGUGCUGCAUCAGGCUUCACACAAGAGGCUAUCAGAGCCUCCGCGUGGUCAAUAACCUCCUGAUUUAUGCGAGGCAAGUUCUUUCGAGCCCAUCUUGUGGCCACAGUGAAGGCGCUCUUCCACUCUUGAGGUGGCUCUUUUGAAAGAUCUGCCUUUAUUUUCUCCAGCUCAGCGGUGUAGUGGUCCUGGAGAAUGAGUAGUGUAGUGUGGCCCCAGUUUUUUGCAUUUGCCAUGAUCAAAUCCAGCGUGUAGGUUGUUGGAUUUGCUGGUUUGAUCAUGGCUGCCAAAUUAUCCACCAUACGUGCUAUCAUUUUUGGAUCCUGUUUUUCAGGUCCUGGGGUCACAUUUUGUAGGUGGUGUACCAUUUUAAUGACAGUGUGUAAUUUUUUGACCAGUUGUCCGAAUUGGGGGUCAUGUACGGGUGCUUGAUGAGUACUUGGAUCAGGCAGGGAUCUGCUCUGCUGUGUGUUUUUUUGGUGGUAAUAAGGGCGUCUUUGAGGAAAUCCCCCCUGGUUACGGGUGGGGUUUCCCUGGUGUAGCACAGAUGCAUAGGACCCUGAUUGAGGUCCCCAAAAUUUGGGUUGAUAAUCAGGAGGAGGUCCAGGUCUGCGGGGACGUGAGGGAGCAGAGAACCGUGGGGGAGGCACAGGCCGGUUAGGUUUAUGGAUAAAGGGGGACUGUCUCCUAGAAUAGGAGACAGUAGGUGCACGGUCCAUCCCCCUGUUCCCCGUCCCCCACGACCCCGUUUGAUACUGCUGAUUAGUGCGAUACGGGCGUUUACCACGCCUUCUCCCGUAUCGCACUUCAGUCCAUUGUUCUUGGUCGUAGGUCAUGAUUGUUGUUUUAACCUUUUUAAUUAUUUAUUGUUAUUUAUUAAUGUGGUGUAUUUAUGAGACUAUUUAUUUAUUUAUUGGUCUAUCUAUCGAUCUUUUUAAACAAAACCUGUAUCAAAUGAAUUGUUAUUUAUUUUUUUAUGCUUUUUUUUGUUUUUUGUGAAAUAAAAAUGAAAUAAAAUGAAAUAAAAGUGAGAAAACUAAAUAAAAUGUGUAUCAAAAUGAAGAAUAAGUGCCCAGUCGCGACGUUUCGACCGCUGUGGGUCUUCUUCAGGCUAUGGGCACAAAAUAAAAUAUGUCUGGGCUUGUCUGGGCUUGUCUGGGCUUGUUUGAGUCUGUUGGUGAGAUGCUUUCUCUUCAAGAGACAUAUGAGAAGUGGGAGGCUGAACUCUGUGUGCGUGAGUUUUUUAUAGGGGCGUGGGAAAGAGCAGAGCCAGACGGGGGCCUCCGGCCGUCUGGGUGCAGUUAACCCCAUAAAUGCCAACUGAAAUUUAAUGACAUGAAUGUUAAUGGCCAAUUAGAAUUUUUUUACCCUCUUUUAGCUGAUUAAUUUUGAUGAAUUAUAAUUGUAAUGUCCAAUUAGAAAUAUUUAUCUUGUUUUUGACCUAUUUAAUAUAAUAAAUUGUAAUUUUAAUGCCCAAUUUUAACUUUUGCCAAUUAGAAUUUGUAAUGAAUUUGAAUUUUUUAAGAUAGAUGUAAUUAUGUUAGCCCCUAAUUCCCUUUUUAAAUUUUGGAUGAGAUAUAUAUUUGUAAUAUUUAUGGUUUUAAUGUGAAAUCAUCCCUAUUUUUAGCCCCUUAUGAAAUCCAAUAAUUAAUAAUGAAUCAAAAAGAAUUAGUUAUAAUAAAUGAUUAGCCUUUAAAGGUUAGGGUUAGGGGUCAGGGCUAGGGCCAGAGAGGCCAGGGUUAGGGUUAGGGCUAGGGUUAGGGCUAGGGCUAGAUCCCGAGGUUAGGGUUAGGGUUAGGGCAAGGGUUAGGGUUAGAUUUGAUCCCGAGGGUUAGGGUUAGGGUUAGGGAUAGGGUUAGGGUUAGAUUUAAUCCCCGAGGGUUAGGGUUAGGGUUAGGGAUAGGGUUAGGGUUAGAUUUAAUCCCCGAGGGUUAGGGUUAGGGUUAAGAUUCUGGUUAGGCGUUAGUUUAGGGCUAGGGGUCAGUGGUUAGGGGUCAGGGGCUAGUGAUUAGGGGUUGGUGGUUAGUGAUUAGGGGUCAGGGUUAGGCAUUGGAGCCCCUAAUCACACGUAGAUGUAUUUAGCUGUUGUUCCCGUCCAGUGCAUGUGGUCCACCCCCGACAGAAACCCGUCUCCUUUCAGAGAGUCGACGUGUGGCCAAGCUCCAGUAUGCCACAUUCUUGUCUGUGUUAAUGUGUCUUUUUGUUUUGUAUGUUACAGGUUUUGGGGGAGAGGGAGACUUUCCCUCCAAAGAGUCCAGAAACUCCCUGUCCAGCUUAGACAUGAAGUUCUGUUGUGGAGACAGAACAGGAGUUGUCUCCAGCUCCGUGUCUUGGUUUUUCCCUAUGUGUGAGUACUGUUUUGUAUUGUUUGUAGGUGUUUGUUUCUCCUCUUGUUUGUUAUGUUGUGGUUCUGUGUGUGGUGUGUGGAGUGGAGUCUGAGGUGUUUUGGUUUGUUGUGGUGUUUUUUGUUGUUGUUGUUGUGGUGGUGUUUUGUUUUGUUGUUGUUGUUGUGCUUGUGCUGACUGUGUGUUUUGUUGUGGUGUCUGCUUUAUGUUUACAGGUUUGUCCACAAUUUGUGGACCAUCAUUUUGCUGUUUUUCCUGUGCAGCAACAGGCUCAGAAGGGGCUGCCUGUCUGUCCUGUGCUGCAUCAGGCUUCACACAAGAGGCUAUCAGAGCCUCCGCGUGGUCAAUAACCUCCUGAU